rnacentral:rRNA from 1 species
UUAAGUCCCGCAACGAGCGCAACCCUUGCCUUUAGUUGCCAGCAGUUCGGCUGGGCACUCUAAAGGGACUGCCGGUGUUAAACCGGAGGAAGGUGGGGAUGACGUCAAGUCCUCAUGGCCUUUAUGACCAGGGCUACACACGUACUACAAUGGCCGAUACAAAAGGGCAGCGACACUGCGAGGUGAAGCCAAUCCCGUAAAAUCGGUCUCAGUCCGGAUUGGAGUCUGCAACUCGACUCCAUGAAGUUGGAAUCGCUAGUAAUCGUGGAUCAGCAUGCCACGGUGAAUACGUUCCCGGGCCUU